CAGUAGCCACGGUAAUACGUAGGUGGCAAGCGUUGUCCGGAAUUAUUGGGCGUAAAGGGCUCGCAGGCGGUUUCUUAAGUCUGGUGUGAAAGCCCCCGGCUCAACCGGGGAGGGUCAUUGGAAACUGGGAAACUUGAGUGCAGAAGAGGAGAGUGGAAUUCCACGUGUAGCGGUGAAAUGCGUAGAGAUGUGGAGGAACACCAGUGGCGAAGGCGACUCUCUGGUCUGUAACUGACGCUGAGGAGCGAAAGCGUGGGGAGCGAACAGGAUUAGAUACCCCCGUAGUCCCUGUCUCUUAUAA
rnacentral:rRNA from 1 species